GACGAACGCUGGCGGCGUGCUUAACACAUGCAAGUCGAACGGAAAGGCCCUGCUUUUGUGGGGUGCUCGAGUGGCGAACGGGUGAGUAACACGUGAGUAACCUGCCCUUGACUUUGGGAUAACUUCAGGAAACUGGGGCUAAUACCGGAUAGGAGCUCCUGCUGCAUGGUGGGGGUUGGAAAGUUUCGGCGGUUGGGGAUGGACUCGCGGCUUAUCAGCUUGUUGGUGGGGUAGUGGCUUACCAAGGCUUUGACGGGUAGCCGGCCUGAGAGGGUGACCGGCCAAAUGGGGACUGAGAGACGGCCCAGACGCAUACGGGGGGCAGCAGGGGGGAAUAUUGCACAAUGGGCGGAAGCCUGAUGCAGCAACGCCGCGUGCGGGAUGACGGCCUUCGGGUUGUAAACCGCUUUCGCCUGUGACGAAGCGUGAGUGACGGUAAUGGGUAAAGAAGCACCGGCUAACUACGU
rnacentral:rRNA from 1 species